UUGUCCCUAGAUGGCGCAUGGCGAAUUAGUUUCAGCCACUGACAGCAGACAGCAUGUUACACUUCAUUUUGUUCUGGACAGAAGGAAGUGAGUUUUCCCCAGAUUCAUCGUUUGGCUUUAUUUAACGUGAAGCUAUUAAAGAAAACUCCAGACGAUACGGAGGUCAAUGACAACUCGUAAUAAGGAAGAAAGAGAGAAAAGAAAACUUUAGAGUCUGACAAGAUGGAAAACGAAAUACUGUUGGGAGAGUCGAGAAUCUGGAGUGGAGAUAUCACGUCUGAACUUAAAACACUGAACACCCUGAAAUUCUCUAAAUUUAUUGCUCAUUGGCCAGCAAGCAAAAAUGCAACAUCUGAUGAUUUUUAUCUUGCAGUGAACGGAAGAGAACACUUGGUGCAAGAUCAUAAUUUGGUUUAUCGUGUAUGUUCGCGUAGUUGUUGCUGUGGUACGUUGUUGCAGGCUUGCUGCCUAUGCUGGGUAUAGAUCUUUCUGCAUCAAAUUUAACUGGCCGUUACUUGGUGCUGGUGUCGUGUUACCGAAGUUGCAUUAUUUUAUGAAAUUAGCAUUGUGUCAAUGUAGUUUAACGUUAAUAUGUUAAGAAGGAACGAAAAAGAAAUAUGGGGAUGUUUAUGUCAAACAAAUAAUAAACAUGUUUCGGGAUUGGGAAAGGAAAGUGGAGGAUGUUGGAGGAGGCAUAUUUCAAGUUUGGAUAAAGAACAGUUAAUUUAUAACCCUACAUAUAUAUCCCUACCAAUUAAUCUCCAAACCCCACAAACCUAUACCUUCCAAUUCUUCAGACCCCACAAACAUACACCUACAAACCCUCAAAUGUAUACCCUAAACCACCUAAACCAAUGUUAAACCCUAUGUCUGUAAUAAAUAAAAAAAAUUUAUACAAUAAACUAGCUUUUAUUAUUUUUCUAAAAUGUACAAAAA